UUGCGCGCUGGAGAUGGCAUUCUCCAUUAACCGCCCUUGAUGGCUGAUGAUGCCUGCUUCGCC
rfam:Burkholderia fungorum strain ATCC BAA-463 chromosome 1, complete sequence.